AGUGAACGCUGGCGGUAGGCCUAACACAUGCAAGUCGAACGGCAGCACAGUAAGAGCUUGCUCUUACGGGUGGCGAGUGGCGGACGGGUGAGGAAUACAUCGGAAUCUACUUUUUCGUGGGGGAUAACGUAGGGAAACUUACGCUAAUACCGCAUACGACCUACGGGUGAAAGCAGGGGAUCUUCGGACCUUGCGCGAUUGAAUGAGCCGAUGUCGGAUUAGCUAGUUGGCGGGGUAAAGGCCCACCAAGGCGACGAUCCGUAGCUGGUCUGAGAGGAUGAUCGGCCACACUGGAACUGAGACACGGUCCAGACUCCUACGGGAGGCAGCAGUGGGGAAUAUUGGGCAAUGGGCGCAAGCCUGAUCCAGCCAUACCGCGUGGGUGAAGAAGGCCUUCGGGUUGUAAAGCCCUUUUGUUGGGAAAGAAAAGCAGCAGAUUAAUACCCCGCUGUUCUGACGGUACCCAAAGAAUAAGCACCGGCUAACUACGUG
rnacentral:rRNA from 1 species